AACUGGUCCCUGAUGAUGGCAGGCUGAUUAAAACCAAGAGAUGUCAGGUGUCUGGAAACAGCAAGUAAAAAUUGAAUGACUAUUCGAAGCACUGCGACAUCUUUGAAGAAUGCCUCGCAGUUUUGAGAUUUUCUGAAGUUUGCAGAGCUGCGAUGUGCUUGUGAAGCAACUUACCUGACUUUCAUCAAGCACAACCCUUUUCUCCUUCAUUGUUUGAACAAGCCGGAUAAAUGAAGUGGAAUUCAGUGUCUUCACCGC